AAGCUCAAAUUUGAAAUCUGGCGGUUCCUUGGACUGUCCGAGUUGUAAUCUAGAGAAGUGCUACCUGUGCUGGACCGUGUACAAGUCUCCUGGAAUGGAGCAUCACAGAGGGUGAGAAUCCCGUCUUUGACACGGACUGCCUGUGCGAUAUGGUGUGCUCUCGAAGAGUCGAGUUGUUUGGGAAUGCAGCUCAGAAUGGGUGGUAAAUGCCAUCUAAAGCUAAAUAUUGGCGAGAGACCGAUAGCGAACAAGUACCGUGAGGGAAAGAUGAAAAGAACUUUGGAAAGAGAGUUAAACAGUACGUGAAAUUGCUGAAAGGGAAACGCUUGAAGUCAGUCACGUCGGCUAGAAAUCAACCUUGCUCUUGCUUGGUGUACUUUCUGGUUUUGACGGGUCAGCAUCAAUUUUGACCGCUGGAUAAAGUCUUUGGGAAUGUGGCAUCUUAGGAUGUGUUAUAGCCCAUUGUCGCAUGCAGUGGUUGGGAUUGAGGAACUCAGCACGCCGUGAGGCCGGGUCUUUUGACCACGUUUCGUGCUUAGGAUGCUGGCAUAAUGGCUUUAAUCGACCCGUCUUGAAACACGGACCAAGGAGUCUAACAUGCCUGCGAGUGUUUGGGUGGAAAACCCAUGCGCGAAAUGAAAGUGAAAGUUGAGAUCCCUUUGGGGAGCAUUGACGCCCGGACCAGACCUUUUGUGACGGAUCCGCGGUAGAGCAUGUAUGUUGGGACCCGAAAGAUGGUGAACUAUGCCUGAAUAGGGUGAAGCCAGAGGAAACUCUGGUGGAGGCUCGUAGCGAUUCUGACGUGCAAAUCGAUCGUCAAAUUUGGGUAUAGGGGCGAAAGACUAAUCGAACCAUCUAGUACCUGGUUCCUGCCGAA
rnacentral:rRNA from 1 species